GCGGUCAUAGCUUAAUGGUAAAGCUCCGGUCUGUGGCACCGGUGAUGGGAGUUCGAUUCUCCUUGAUCGCC
rnacentral:tRNA from 1 species